GACGAACGCUGGCGGCGUGCCUAAUACAUGCAAGUCGAGCGAAUCAAUGGGAGCUUGCUCCCUGAGAUUAGCGGCGGACGGGUGAGUAACACGUGGGUAACCUGCCUGUAAGACUGGGAUAACUUCGGGAAACCGGAGCUAAUACCGGAUACGUUCUUUUGUCGCAUGAGAAGAGAUGGAAAGAUGGUUCUGCUAUCCCUUACAGAUGGACCCGCGGCGCAUUAGCUAGUUGGUGAGGUAACGGCUCACCAAGGCGACGAUGCGUAGCCGACCUGAGAGGGGGAGCGGCCACACUGGGACUGAGACACGGCCCAGACUCCUACGGGAGGCAGCAGUAGGGAAUCUUCCGCAAUGGACGAAAGUCUGACGGAGCAACGCCGCGUGAGCGAAGAAGGCCUUCGGGUCGUAAAGCUCUGUUGUUAGGGAAGAACAAGUACGAGAGUAACUGCUCGUACCUUGACGGUACCUAACCAGAAAGCCACGGCUAACUACAUGCCAGCCGCCGCCGUAA
rnacentral:rRNA from 1 species